rnacentral:rRNA from 1 species
AGUGAACGCUGGCGGUAGGCCUAACACAUGCAAGUCGAACGGCAGCACAGUAAGAGCUUGCUCUUACGGGUGGCGAGUGGCGGACGGGUGAGGAAUACAUCGGAAUCUACUUUUUCGUGGGGGAUAACGUAGGGAAACUUACGCUAAUACCGCAUACGACCUACGGGUGAAAGCAGGGGAUCUUCGGACCUUGCGCGAUUGAAUGAGCCGAUGUCGGAUUAGCUAGUUGGCGGGGUAAAGGCCCACCAAGGCGACGAUCCGUAGCUGGUCUGAGAGGAUGAUCAGACACACUGGAACUGAGACACGGUACAGACUCCUGCGGGAGGCAGCAGUGGGGAAUAUUGGGGAAUGGGGGCGAGGCUGAUCCAGCCAUACCGCGUAGGUGAAGAAGGCCUUCGGGUUGUAGAGCCCUUUUGUUGGGAGAGAAAAGCAGCAGGUUAAUACCCCGCUGUUCUGACGGUACCCGAAGAAUAAGCACCGGCUAACUUCGUG